AAUGAGAGCGGGAGUUUAGGCGCUUUUCGUCGUCCUGCUUCCCGGGGUAAAAAUAGAUAUUCAUAUAUGGGCUAUAUAAUUGGUUGACUGAUCCGCUAUAUAGGCUGAACUUUGAGAUUAAUCGACAAAAGAUCUGAUUCAAGAAUGCGCCGCGUGUCCGAUGCGCUUAAAGCUGGGCACAUAAUUACCUUUGUGCCCUUUUUGUACGCGUCUCUUCUUCCCAUGUCAAUUUGUCUCUACAAUUUCAGCUUUAUCUUGUAGUCUUCUCUAACAACAUUCGUCUCAUCCAAAUUCGGUGGUACAAAUUAUUAAAUUUCCAAGAUUCAGUUUUCCUUCCAAUGGAUUCCUCAGUCAAUGUUAGAUAUUGAGUUAAAAUUUGGGAGUUCUUCGUGGUAGUAGCGGCCGCAAUUAUUGUCGAAGAGGUACUCUCCCAGGUAUUCUAAAUCUCUUUGGUAUUCUCUAACUCUGCUUUUUCGUAGGUCUGGUUACUGCUUUCAACCUAAGAGAAGGCACUACUUGAGGUGUGCUAAGUUUUCUAAUACUCAUUCCACAUGAGUGUGAGUAAUUGAAAUUUCGUAGUGAUUUAAAAAUAAACUUAGCUUGCUUUAGAUUUGUAAAUCCUCUUUUUAGGAAUUACAAAUUCUGAUUUGUGAGUAAUCUUAGAUAUCCUAAUUCAUUUCCUUGAAGAAUAUGUGUGUUUGACUAGGAUAUUGAUCCGAUAGCUAAACAUAUCAAGCUGAGAAGAAAAUAAGAAGCUUUACCAUUUUCGUGUUGUGACGGGAUAAAACUCAAACAUCAAAAUCCUAUCCAGUUUAAUUUAUCAACAGUGUGAGCUGUGUGAAAAAUAGCUUUGAAUAUUGAGAAUAAGAUUGUCCAAAAGUAUUGUAUUUUAAAGUGAUACCUGCUUCAUUGAGAUCUUAUCUAAGUGAAUCUCACUCAAUCCUUUUACAUGUAGUUUUAGAGAAGAAUGUUGUUUAGUUCUGUCUGUGUAAAUGAAUAUUAGCUACAUCUUGAGACCAAUUUGAUGGUAAUCAUUUUAAUCAUAAAAAAAUACUAGCAAAAUGGGAAUGAAGAAGGAACUUAUAAAGAUGUAAAUGUUCAUUCUCCAAAGCCUCACUCUGAUAAAACAGAUAGAUAGAUUUCUGGUGAGUCAAAAAUGGUGGUGGGGAUUGGUGUUGGGCAAUUACAAGUUAUUCAUAAAUUAUUGUAGUUUUGCUCCUUGUGAAUAUGUAGUGGUCAAAUAUGAUGAUAACCUUCUCAUUAAGUACCCCUAAUAUUUUAGCUUAAAUUUUAUCUUUGAAAAUAUGAUUAUGAAAUCUGAUAUGUUACAUAGAGUAAUAUAAAUCUUUCCCUGUUUACACAACUCAAAGACCGCUGUGACUUUCGUUGCCUUUCUUAAAAAAGGCUAAGGCAGUGUGACUUUAGACAAAAAAGCAGCAAUUCAGGAUGAAAUAUGAUACAUUUGGUUCCAGCAAGAAGGGGUUAACCAGGUUUUUCAUUAUGACGAAGGGUAAGCUACUCAAUCCAUAAUCUUUAAGUGCAAGUUUCCUCAUAACAGGGAAUCGAUACAUCAUGCUGCAUAAAAAGAUGAGAAAUCAAUUUAUCAAGCUAAAAUCAAGUACCUAUAUUAAUCAUUUACAUAUGAGUAACAAUCUAGCGUGAAGAAUAACUGUGUAUUCUGCAUAAAACAAAACAAUUUUGGAGUGAACAAAAUAACAUGUUCAAGGAUUGACAGAAGCAAUUGCAAGAGCCAAAAGGUUAUUAUCCAUUUUUGUGAUACUCUUGAAUAUUUUUCAGAAACCAAAAGGUUAUAUUGCUAGCUGCUCUCUCCCCCUCCGUGCUUUGAUCAUACUGUUAAUAUUUCGUUGUAGUUUUAUACAUGUAUGUUAGAAUCUUUUUCUUCCUGCCAGCUGUAGUUAAAGAAGAAGGCACUGAUAAGGAGAUGAUGGGGAUGAUAACCUAUGAAAUUUAUUCCAUGAUAAAAACAAAUCGAAGAGCUAGAGGAGAAGUUUAAGGUUAUUCAAAUUCUACCUCUAAUCAUACUCAGUUUUCUUGUUUUGGUAGUUAUAUUGUUCUUCUAUUUGAUAUCUUCUAAGACAUUUUUAUGUCGAUAUGAAUGGUAGGUAUUUCCACUUCUAAAAGACCCUCUCGAUUCAAGAAAUAUAAUCUUGAAGAUAUAUAGUGGUAACUUCGUUCUGUAUCUUAGUUUCAGAUUCAUCAACUGUAAAUAACAAUUACUGAUAUGUUGCCAUAUUGGCUUCAUCAGAUCUGUGAUCCAGAUGAUAAGAAGGUGCAAUUUGUUUAAGGAACUAUAACUAAAGGAGUAGAUGCAAAGAAUUCAUGAAGGUUUUUUUGAAUAUUGAGAAGUAACCAAUACUAGCUAAGGGGUUGGAGAGUUCUGAUUGAUGGUGUAUGCACUUUCUGAACACAAGAUAAAGUUAUAGGUGUUUUUAUGAUUAAGUUCUUGAUAAUUAGUAGCGUUAAAAUAUAGAAAUUAAAGGGUUAAAUGGUACAUGAAAUACUUGUGGCGCAUACACUGUUAGUUCUAAAUUCAUUCGCUCCUAAUUAUUGAGUUAGUCUAUGUUUUAAACUUUGCUAUAAGUACAGGAGUUCAAUUUUUUUGCUCUUACUCAGCAUGACUAACUCAAUAAACAUCAAUUGUGUUUUAUACUUCUAUUAGAAGUCAAAAUUUAAUGAAAAAGUGCUUUUAGAAGUUGUGAAAGUUUUUAUACGCUUGUUAUAGUGUUCUUUCCCAAAUGUUAAUAGUAUGUUCGACUAUCUAUUAGAGUAUUUAUUUUGCUUGUUUAUGAACAAUUGGCAGGAAAAAGUGACAACUUUUUUAUUUCAUGUAAAGAUCAUUCAUUUAAAUCUUCAAGAUGAGCACCAGUAAUUGAAAAACAAAAAAAAUGAGUGAUCAAGUAAGGUUUUUAGAAAACAAUAAACCAAUAUAGACUAGGUUGCUUGAUGAAGAUAGGCUAUGAAGCUCGGGCCUCAGGAUGAAUUCUUCUUGGCUCAUUAUUGAAUUCAAGACCAGCGUAUUAAUUUAGACUUACAGUGGAGGGAACUAUCCAUGAAUUGCCUCUAUUUGGUUACAAACUCAAAAGUAGAUAGACUAUAGUAGGUUCAUCAUUGUGUUAAUUAGGUUGCUGCCAAAGGUUCUUAUGACUUGCUUGAACGCAAUAAUCCUUACUGUUAAUUGGUCGCGCUGAUAGGUUCUAUUGUAGUCUGUAACUCUAGAUUAGUUCCCCAAAAUUGCAGGUACAUAAUUGGAUCUUUUAGAGCACCAAAUAUUUUCUGUUAGGUCUCUUUUUCUUUUGCCCUUUUAUUUCGUGACAAGAGGGAGGAAGAAGAUGUCCUAUUACGUUGGUUGAUUAUCUUUUUCUGUUGAGCUUCUUACUGUCACUAUGAGUUUGCUUCAUGUUGCUCCGAAAAAUAGGAAAUUGAAGAUGACAACUUUUACUUUGGUCUUCCCUUCCCUCUCAAUUAUGCUUUGUCAGUUCAUCUUAGCACAUAAUGUAAGGACUUCUGGAUGGUGCAAGACAUGGACAAACUUAUUUAUGAAGCUUAAAUAUGCUUUGCUGGCAUUGUGGCAUGAGAAAUACUAAGAUUUUUGUUUAUACUUAGGCCUAGGUAAAUUGCACCAUUAAUAUAAGGGGGUGUAGAUCUUAGAGGUGUGAGGAGUAGAGAGAUAUGCAAAGAAGUUUGAAAUGUGUAUAUCGAUGUAUUGUUUAAUGUAAGCGUUAAUGGUUAUCGUCUAUAUAUGUUAGUCAAGAAAAUUUCAUUAGUGAAUGGGAGAUGAAAACUCCUCAUUUUCUACUGUCCAAGGCAUUUGUAGCUAAGCAUGAUUCCUGUAUAAUAUUACUUCAUAAGGUUUGUUGAUCAUUUUACAAAAUUAUCAGCUGGAAAACAGCUAACUCUAAUAUAUUCGAUAGAUUUUCUCCAAAUGAUCCAGUACUUCCUCUUUCGACCUUUUUUUGCCAUAUAUAAGUCAGUUACAACAUAGUCAAAUGUUAUUUCCACAAGCAUAUAUGUCUAUAAACGACAUAAUUAGAUAUCAAACUAUGUUUUUGACUCUGAGCUUGGGGUUGUGCAUAGCAUGAUCAUCACAAUGAGUACCUGUAACUCAUUACUCAUUACUCAUGCAUGUCAUUUCAACUUCACACACUAAUCAGAGUACACUAUGAAAAGUUUAUCUACUCCUUCCAUAAAAUAAUAUAUAAAUUACUAAUUUAUUAGGUUUGGGCCCGGGCUUAGCACGGGCCAUUUCACACUAGUAUAUAUAGAAGCGGGAGUUAAGGUGCUUUUCGUCGUCCCGCUUUUGCAAUUACAACAAACUCCCUUUUUUGUAUCAAAAUUUGGGGUUAUUUUGGUCUUUUUGUCAUGUCUUACACAGCCGAUUUUGUGGACGCAAAAUCACUGAAUUCUUUUCCUUUUCCUCCGUGCUCUGUUUCUCUCUCUUGGGUACUCGCGCCUUUUCGUCGUCUCCUCCGUUUCCGACGUGGAAGAUAAACUGGUUCUUGCUUUUGGCGUUGUGACCUGUUCUUCUCUCUCAGCACCACCUACGUUUUUGGUGGGUAUCUGCAAUUAACAUUAUCUCUUGAAGUUUGUUUACUUUGGUACCCCUUGCUUCUGCAAAUUUGCUCUUUAACCUCAACAUUAUUUCGGAUAAUUUACCGCACUGGUUAGCUGAUAUCGCCCAAUAAAUUGUGAAACAGCCUCUGUUUUGCUUGGGUUUCCACCUUUUUUUUGCAGCUUCACUUUUCUGCUAUCUUUCUGUCUGGUGACUGAAAGGUGAGUACUCUUCGUAUUUCUUCUCCUUCUUUAGAUUUAUGUGGCUGCGUUAAUGGACCGCAGCGGGCUCGGCAACUUUUAACUACUACCUAAUGGUUUAUAUGUGAACUAAUUUAUUGUUCUAUGAAUCAUCUACAUCCACUUUGUUCCGUUGAUUUAGUCAGAGCCUCACAUGAUGCAUUGUAAUUUAAUUAUUUGACUAAUUAGAAAUUUCUUAUCAUUGAUUUUAGAUGUAGAUAAACCCUCAGGGGUUGGCCUGGUGGCAAUUGACUUGAGCCUUGGGGUUUGCUCCCUUUCAAGGUCUCAAGUUCGAAACCCAAUAGGUGCAAAUAAUUUUCGAGGGCCAUCGGACUAGAUAAAACCUGAAUUAACCGUGGUGCACUUUCGGGAAACUCCUUGUCGAGGGCCUGCGCACCCCCGGGAUUAGUCGGGUCUCAUAGAGACUCAGACACCUGGUGCAAAUCAAAAAAAAAUUAGAUGUAGAUACCUAUUUUGCUGAAACCUUCAGAGUAGUUGCCGUCCAAGAGAGAAUUGGAUUUGAGUUUGACCUUGUUGAAAUUUCAUGCGCUUACCCUGGUCUUGCGCAAUGGUUAAUCCCACUGAUGGAUGUAGCUACCUUUGGUGAAGGGGUUCAAUUGAAUCCCCUCAGGUGGAAAGUUACAAUUUGAAAAAAGGAUAAAAACAAAUUUCUUUGUAUAUACCAACCAUUGAGCCUCCUUGACAUAAGUUCAUAUCUUAUUUAUGACAUUCUUACAUUUUUUUGAAUCCCCUUAUUCAAAAUUCGGACUCCGCCACUGAUUGCUAUUGGGUGGAUUGUGUGCAUCAUCUGUGCUCAUUCUGCUCUUUUGAUUUGGUCAGAGAAUUCAUUCUAACUUCACUAUAUUUACAUUAUCUGGUUGACUACUUAAAUAUAAUUCUUUUAUAGUUGAUUUAGUCUAGAUUUUGAUAUCUUUGGAGGAAUCUCCUGAUUAUUAAGCUUGUAUUUUGCUAUUGCUUACGAUACAAUCCACAGUGGUCGAAAGCUAUAAAAAGACAACCUCCUGCAGAUGGUGUGCAGAAAUGAACCGUAAAGCAAAUUGAUGGUUCAUGAGUUAUCCAAGUGGGUAUAUCAGGGGAGGGAAGGGACAAAGAGCUGUAGUGAGAGAGGAAUCUUCGUAGUCCUGCUUUCGCGAAACAUAAGGAGGUUUAGAGAGCUAUCUGUUUUGCACGAGUGAAGUUGUUGGCUUGUUGCCGAACAGACAGUUGAAGCUAAUAAUGCAGCUAAUAUUAAGAACCCCUCUUUGGGGUGGAUGAUAUGGUUUCUUUUUUGUUGUUAGAUUUCUUGGGUUUUUCUCAAUGGUUCCUCUUCAUAAGUUAUAUUCUUAUCUCAGGAUAUGUGUAAUGCAUAUGCAUCACAACUUUCCUUGUAAAAGAUAAAAGCUGUUCGCAAGAUUUAGCAUUUUGGAGAUAUCACUUUUACUUUUUCCGUUAGAAGUUAUACUUUUGUUUUUUUGGUUAAAUGACACUACUCUAGGGUGUAAUCGACCUUAAGAUUUGUUUAAGACACAGAUCAACACACUAGAGCUUUGUGUACAUAGUACUUGGAUGACAUGUUGACACUUGAUA